AGCGCCAGGUGGGAGUUCAGAAGACGGGCGCCCGGCGUGGGGCGCCGCGAGGGCACCGCCCGCCCGGAAGCUGCUGCACCGGUCCGAUUUUCCGCGGUUCUAUAAGGAGUAGCGCUUCAGUAGCCGGGGACCUGGAGGGGAACCUGAUUUGAGAUCAAUUCUUGGAGAACACAAAGGAGUAUGGUGGUCUUGCAAAUGAAGCUCAGGACCUCCAGCUGAAUCCAGCUUUUACAGGCAAGUAGUUAAAUGAUGUCAUCUAUUCUGUGUAGUCAGGACCACAUUGUAUUUAUACUCACCGUAUGACUUUUUUGUUGCUGCUACCUAUGCAGCCCCACAUAGAGCAGGAUCUUUUUGCUUGUUACAGCAAAAGAACAAAUACAAUCUUUUCCCUAAGAUAUCACUGCAUCUUGGAGGAAGACUACAAAGGGAUGAAAUAUUUCUUAUUUCAUCUCCUAGUUUGAUAUCUCUCUAAGCAACUCAGGUGUCAGGUACCAUAGAUUGAAAAAAAAAAACCCUGUUUUAUGCCCUCCCAGGAUGUUUAUAAAAAUGUGUCUAUUUAUAAGGCAUAUUCAGGAUAGGAGUAGUAUAUAGUAUACUAUAAGAAAAUAUUAGAGCUAGGCUAAAACAAAAAAUGGAGUUUAAAUUCACCUUAAUGUUCUUUCAAAUGUAAUAGCCUUCUAGGGAAACAUAAUUCAGGUUUGAGAACAUUACUUAUCUACAACACUUGUCCUGGAUAACUGGUAUCACCUGAGCUAUAAAACUACAGAGCCACCUGGCCCUUUCCAGAAAGAUUUCUUCCAGAAAUUAUAUUUUCCUUGAAUAGGCAAAGCUUUUACUCAAAUGAGCUGUCUCCAACAAGCUUUCCAUCAAAUUCUCUGCUAUUGGUGCAGUGGUCUUAAUUUUACUUAAGUGCUUGCUGGCUGACUUUGAGUCCAAAAAGACAAAGCAUAUCUUCUGGGACAGAUUUCAAGCUUUGGAAUGAAAAAAAAAAAUGAGCUGCCUUCUUUCCACUACUAAUGGAGAUGAGAAGGAGACAAGAGCCAAAGUGGCCCUCAUUUCUAUCUUGAUUUACCUACUUUGGUGACUUGCUUACUUGCAGCACAUGAAUGACUUCCAUAAAAAUAGGUCUGUUGAAAGAAAGAGUUCCUGCCAAAGCAAAAUUUAGUCUAAUGAUUUGUUCCCACAAUUAUAUUUCAAAUGGUUGGGCAGAAUUUUGCCUUUAUUUCCUCUGCUGACUCAAAUUGGGGAGCUAACAUAAUGGGGGUAUACUUUUUGUUUUUGUUCUUAUAAAAUAUCACCAUUUAUAAUUAAUUGUAAGUAAUGGAUAGUAGAGUGAAUAAUGAAGAACUUAUUUGAUUUCCUUAUAACACUGUGCUUAUAAGAAAAAAAAAUCUGUUAACCCAGAAAAUACUUUUAACCCUAAAAUACUUUUUUUGGCUGAAUCUCAGUGAACAUGAGUAAGAUAAUAGCCUUAUCCAUUCAUCCACCCAUCCAUCCACCUUCAUUUCUUUUAUUCAAUAUUUAUUGAGUACUUGCUACAUUAGGCAUUGAUGAUACAGCCACAAAAAUGAUAGAGAAAUGAAUCUUCUAUUCCAGUGGGCCUUUAAUGGUGGCCUGCUCCUUGAAACCGUCUUUCCUCUGAAGUGCAUCUCCAUUUGAUUUAUUUCAUUCCCCCCCCACCGCCCCCAGAGAUGGUGAGCUCCUCCAAGGUGGAAAUCCUAUCUCAUGGGUUUUUUUUUUGUUUGUUUUGUUUUGUUUUAUGAUGAUAGACAUUCAACAAAUAUUUUUGGGCUAGGAUAAGUAACGAUUUUUGAAGCUGUAGGUGAAGAAGGUCCCAGAGCUAGUCAUAGGUGUUAAUUAGCUCUAGAAGAGGCCGUAAAGAUCAUCUAGCCAGCCCAUAGGUUUUCAAAAGGUACCUGUAUAGAUAUACCUUUACAGCUGCUUCCAGGGAAUGGGGGAGGCCUAGUAGAGAGAUGGGACUGUUAUGACCAUCACUGCGCUUCAAGCAUAAGAUGUGAACUUUCAACCCUUUCAUAUGCAGGGCAUUCCUAUGACAUUUUAUUUAGAGAAAGGAUUGAUUGCUUUGAAAAAAAAAUCUAUAAACCACUGAUUGGUCUAAUAUUUCUACUUAUAGAUCUUUUAGAUAGGCCUAGGAAGAUUAGGUAAUUUGUUCAAGAUCAUACAUUUAGUUAUUAAUACUCUUAGAACUUAAACCUAAAUAUUCUAAUUUCUAAUCUGAGAUUCUUUCUAUGACAUUGUAUAUAAACUAGUUCACAACUGUUGCAUGACCAACAUACUGCUUGACACAUGGAUGUUAUAACUGAAAGCAGGAAUGUUAAAAUCCACUUCGACAACACUUCAUCUCUCCUUGGACAUAGCUCAGUAUCUCUGUACUCACCAAGGUGACUGUAAGUGCUUAAUGUGGCUGGUGCUGAUUACCCAUGAUUGAUUGUUUCACCUUUCCAGAUUAUUGCUCACUAAUCCUUUUAAUCUGUUCUCAUAACCUGCCCCCUCCCAUCCCUUCAAACAGCUUUCUUGUUCAUGUCCUCUGACUGCAGUCCUUGGAAUGGACCGGAUAUGGAAAUUGAGACAUAUAUAGGAAGUUCUAACCAUAGUUACCACUUAAAUGUUUUUAGCUUACAUGUUUAAUUAUGAAACACUGAACAGUUGUCUAUUGUCGAGAUUAAAAAAUAAAUAAAUGACUAUAAAGCACAAGUUGUAAUAAAAAUGCUUUUGAGAGUUUAGUUAGGGGCUUUUGGUUUGAUUUUUUUCAAAACGUAAGUAUUGUUGUACCAUCAUUUGACUUCUCACUGCAUCUGUACACAUGCAAGUAUUUUUUUUUUAAUUAGUGCUUUUAGGACUUGGCUGUGGUAGCUUUCCUAGUUAUGUGGGUUUCCUUGGUUCCCCCUUUGCCUCCCUUGUUGCCUGCUUACUCUGUUUUUUUGGUUGGAUGUCUUUUCCAGUCCAAAUUACCAACACUACUGACAAGGAUUUUGAGCUUUCCUCAAGGGAGGGAUACUUAGGGUUGCAGUUUUUCACAUCUUGCAGACAGAUCCUCUGGGACCAGUUUGGUCAGAAUGUUUCCUCUGACAGAUUUUAAGAAUGCUUUGUUGUGGGUCUCCUGCCACCAGCCACUGCUGCUAUUGCUAUUGCUAUUGCCAGUGCACUGGGAGAGAGUGAAUUAGUUUUGUGACCAGACAGAAUUGGGUUUUGUUUAUUUUUCCAGUUUAUUCUUGCUUUUGGAUGCUAUUACCUCUUUCUUAUUAGCACCCUAGUGAUAGAAAAAAAAACAUUAUAGUAGGAGUUUAGAAUUCAAGGGUAGAACUUCAAUCUUGGGAUAAAAAAAUAGGACCUCCACUUUAAAAAUUCAUGUUAGGUUUGCAGUAUUUAAUUUAACGCUACUCUAACAGUUUUCUUUUGCCACCCACUUUUUUUUUUCCCCCUAUGAAUGGUUAUAGUGAAUGACAAGUAUAUCCUAUCCUUGCUGAUCAUUUUUAAAUGGAUGGAUUUUCAUAGAGCAGUGUGUCUAUGGUGGUAUAGAUUUUGAUCUUAGGUAUCGAGAGAUUAUAAUUCAGUCUUUUCAGGUAUUCACUUUUAUUUGAUAACAUUGAUAAAUAGGACUAUGACUUUUCUAUUAAUAAGAUCUUCUAACUAUGCUUAAUUGUAAUUACUGUAAAGUUAUCCUUUUUAAAGCCUAGAGGUUCAGAAAAGCCUGGCCAGUUCCAUCAUCUCCAGGUAGAGAGUGAGCAAGAUAUUUUUAGAAAAUUUUGUAACUGGUGUUAUUAGAUGCUUUGAAGGUAUGAUACUAUGAUUUAUUUAGAAACUUGAGUAGUUUAUCAGACUGAAAGCUGAUUUUCUACCUUAGAAUCAUUCUGGAACUAAGAUUUACUUAGAGUGCCUUUGAUCUUUAACACAAUAAAAUCCUUGAACAUCACAGAAUGAAUGUAAGACAAUAGUCUGCACUUGUCAUAGUCGGUUAACAAACAUUUAUUAUCCAUGACCUUUCAUCUUAGGAGUUAAGGUCUUAGUUUCAUAACAGUUGGUUUAAAAGUGUUCUAUUACUAAUUCAAAUUUUUAUACUAUUGAUGUGAAUCAGUUAUUCUUUAAGAUAUGUGCCUGGGUUAGACAUAAGAAUGGGCAGCUGUCUGGGUUUUAUUCCUGAUUUUUCUAUAGAUUUUCUGUCUUCUGGCCUUUUUUUCUUAGAGGUCACCUAAUAGCUACCACUCUACUAAUGCAUCAACUUGACUGUUUUUUAUAACUAGACUCAAUGAGACAUCUAUCAUAAAUUGAAUUAAUAUUUAAGCACUCUAAGCAGUAGAAGAAUAUAUUUUUACAUUUUUUUAAAACACUGUAUUCAGAUGGAAGCCACCAGCUGCACACACCACCAGAAAUUAUUCUUGUAUAUUAAUAUCCAUAGACAAUGAAGAAAAGACUUGGGGGUUCCUCAAAACAAUCCUAUUUAUAUGUAUUUAUUCAUAGACCUUAGGUAUGUCAGAGCAAUAAUUAGAUGUAGUGUAAAAAACACUUUAUCUUCCAUUAAACUAGGCCUCAGUGCUUACCUCACUCUGAGCUCUCCACAGAGAUUCAUCUUUAACUCAAAUGUGAAAACACUCUUCUUUCCAAAUUCACCCUUUUCAGAUUUUUAGGGACCUUCUUAAUUCUCAUUCAUUACAUUCUGAUUGUAACAAAUUUGGCCCCAGCCCUUUAAAAUGUUACAAGAAUGUCUUUUCAUUCACUUUUGUCAUGAAACUGUACUUCCUCAAUAGUGAUGGGUGACAAGUUAGGCACAGUCUCAGUCAGGCUCCUGGUUUUAAAGUAUUUCCUUCCUCUGCUUAUCCCCCACCACAUACAGGCACUCUAAGCUUUUAAGGAGAAUCAGUAUAAUAAUAGUCACAUUGACAAAAGAAAAACAAAGAACAAGUCCACAUGAAGCUUGAUACAGGGACAUCUCUCUUCAUUUUUUAAAAAUGUGUUUCUAAGAAACAAUGUAUAAAUUCUGUAUUUGUAAAAAUAACUCGUACUUAAAUGUUCAGUAUAAGCUUGGCAUUUAAAAAUAUUGCCAUAGUGAAUGCUUCUGUAAUGCAAAUAACCACUCCUAACUUCUCUGAUUUGUAGACUGGAUGCAGUUUUCUUAAAAUAGGGCACACCUAUACUCUGUAUCCUCACAUAGUUUUUCAAGGAAUGACCCCUUUGUUAGACCCUGAUUUCUCAACCUGAUCCCCUAUGGUUCCUUGUGGUUUCUUCAUUAGCCCAGUGACUCAAGUGUAUGUUCCUGCCCCCUGAUCUCUCCUUGGCUAUCAUAUGUUAAUAUAUCAGAAUAUAAUAUAUAUUUGUAUGUUUAUGUAUGAGAUAUAGUGGGACUUUGUAUAGGAGCCCUAUAAACAUGUUUUUGUAUAUUUAUCCAAAUUCCAUGAUCAGCAGGCACAGUGCACAUGGCUAGGGUUUUCUAUUUUUUCCGUUAGCUUACUAUUUAUUCUAAAUAUUUUUAUUUUGCCUCUUCAUUGUUUACAUGACAUACUAACUCUAUCCACUACUGUGGUAUAACCACUUCUGAACUGAAAUGGCAUCUAUCUAACAGUGUUGUAAAUGCUAUUGGCUUUGUUUAGAUUAGAAAGUGGACACUCUUCUUUCUUCUUUGCACUGAAAGAGUUUAACCCAGCUCCAAUGUUGGCAAGGAGAACCGUUCUUUUGAUUUGUUUUUAAAAGGGUAUGCACUAGUAAUCUCAUUUUAGCCUUUCAUUUUCCUCCGUACUACUACUCUGUCCCUUGGCUUCAUUUGCCUCUUUAUGGGGAAGAAUGCAUCUGAGAUUUUCUUUGCUUCUACUCUUGCCAUGAUAUGUAGACUAGUUUAUGGAGAAAUACAUCAGCUGCCUGCUGUGCAUUUAAAUUCCCCACUUCUCUGCUGCAUUUGUGUGCAGCAACUGAAAGACAAAUAGAUGAAUGCAGGAUCUUUUUUGUCAGCGAAAGUUUUUGGAUGCAUAUAUUACCAAGCACACAUAUCAUUAAAUACGAGUUUAAUAUCCAGAAGCAAAAGUGGUAGUACAUCAACUUUGUCCACAGAGGAAAAAAGGGGUCACUGUUUAUAAGAACUAAAUAGAAGCAUAUCCUUCCUUAUCAAUCAAAGAAAUUAAGAGAUGAGAAUUGGUCUUUUAGGCCAUCUGGUUCCUGCCCCAAGGACCAGUAGAAGACUGGUCCUUGCAUUAUUAUAUUCUACAUGCUGGUUAUUUUUGUUACAUAUUUCCAUAGCUUUGUAGUAACUUCAGAUGCUUCUGUAACCAUAGUUUCUCCACUUCUCUUGACCAGAGAGGUUCAGAUUGUAUCUCAUUUCAAAAGAGAUGUCCCCCUUUUCAGCUUUUAGUAAUAAGCCUUAUUCCACCAAACUGGUUAAGUUACUGGGAUUUAGUCCUUUUAAGAUAACAUGUCUCCUUGGGCCUAACUUUUUCCUUACCUUUUUCCCCUCUGUUCUGAAGAGUCUUAAACAGUUUUAGAGAUUUUGUUACCAUAUAGAAAUUUAACAUUGUGAACAUCUUAAAAUUACACUUCUGAAACCAACUAUAAUCCCUUACAAAGGAUAGAAAUAGGAAGGGAAGGAUGUCCAGGAGUUACCUCAGUAUCUCUCCUUUCCCUCCCCUCUCCCUGCUCACUCUCUUACUUUCUCUCUUCCUCUCCCCAUCCCCACCACACAUUGGCCUUAUGUCAAACUAGGUCAUCACAGUGAAUUUGGAUGGAGAUGGGGCAUGUAGUGAAGGAGAUGGAGGGCCUAAAGUGGGGUUUGAGGCAUGAAAAUGAGAUACAUUACAGAAGCAGUGAAGUAAGAGAAUUUCCAAGCCAUAAGGGACCAUAGAGAAUGUUUCCUUGGUUAUAUACAUGAGGAAAGUGAGACCCAGGAAGUUAAUGACUAAAUCAGCUGACUUCUCUGGAGUCCAGUGUUUUGUUUCCUCCACUAAGCUGAAGGCAAAAAUUGUGGGGAUUGUACAGUGACAGAAUUCUCUGGUGGCUCAGCAGGUUAAGGAUCUGGCAUUGUCA
rnacentral:lncRNA from 1 species